rnacentral:rRNA from 1 species
CAGCAGUGGGGAAUAUUGCACAAUGGGCGCAAGCCUGAUGCAGCCAUGCCGCGUGUAUGAAGAAGGCCUUCGGGUUGUAAAGUACUUUCAGCAGUGAGGAAGGUGGGAUAUGUUAAUAGCAUAUUCAUUUGACGUUAGCUGCAGAAGAAGCACCGGCUAACUCCGUGCCAGCAGCCGCGGUAAUACGGAGGGUGCGAGCGUUAAUCGGAAUUACUGGGCGUAAAGCGCAUGCAGGUGGUUUGUUAAGUCAGAUGUGAAAGCCCGGGGCUCAACCUCGGAAUUGCAUUUGAAACUGGCAAACUAGAGUACUGUAGAGGGGGGUAGGAAUUUCAGGUGUAGCGGUGAAAUGCGUAGAGAUCUGAAGGAAUACCGGUGGCGAAGGCGGCCCCCUGGACAGAUACUGACACUCAGAUGCGAAAGCGUGGGGAGCAAACAGGAUUAGAUACCCUGGUAG